AGCUUUGCGCAGUGACAGUAUCGUAGCCAAUGAGGUUUAUCUGAGGCGCAAUUAUUGCUAAUUAAAAGAACAAAGCUGUCUCUUGAUUUCAAACUACUAUAUGUUAUGAAUCUAUGGAAACCAAAACAGUAUGG